AUUGAACGCUGGCGGCAUGCUUUACACAUGCAAGUCGAACGGCAGCACGGGCUUCGGCCUGGUGGCGAGUGGCGAACGGGUGAGUAAUAUAUCGGAACGUACCCAGAAGUGGGGGAUAACGUAGCGAAAGUUACGCUAAUACCGCAUACGAUCUAUGGAUGAAAGCCGGGGACCGCAAGGCCUUGUGCUCCUGGAGCGGCCGAUAUCUGAUUAGCUAGUUGGUGAGGUAAAGGCUCACCAAGGCGACGAUCAGUAGCUGGUCUGAGAGGACGACCAGCCACACUGGAACUGAGACACGGUCCAGACUCCUACGGGAGGCAGCAGUGGGGAAUUUUGGACAAUGGGCGCAAGCCUGAUCCAGCAAUGCCGCGUGAGUGAAGAAGGCCUUCGGGUUGUAAAGCUCUUUUGUCAGGGAAGAAACGGUAGAGGCUAAUAUCCUUUGCUAAUGACGGUACCUGAAGAAUAAGCACCGGCUAACUACGU
rnacentral:rRNA from 1 species